rnacentral:rRNA from 1 species
UAGUAACGGCGAGUGAAGCGGCAACAGCUCAAAUUUGAAAUCUGGCCCUAGCGGUCCGAGUUGUAAUUUGUAGAGGAUGCUUUUGGUCAGGUGCCUUCCGAGUUCCCUGGAACGGGACGCCAGAGAGGGUGAGAGCCCCGUACGGUUGGACACCGAGCCUCUGUAUAGCUCCUUCGACGAGUCGAGUAGUUUGGGAAUGCUGCUCUAAAUGGGAGGUAAAUUUCUUCUAAAGCUAAAUACCGGCCAGAGACCGAUAGCGCACAAGUAGAGUGAUCGAAAGAUGAAAAGUACUUUGAAAAGAGGGUUAAAUAGCACGUGAAAUUGUUGAAAGGGAAGCGUUUGCGACCAGACUUUUUCCAGGCGGAUCAUCCGGUGUUCUCACCGGUGCACUUCGCCUGGUUUAGGCCAGCAUCGGUUCUCUUAGGGGGAUAAAGGCCUGGGGAACGUAGCUCCUUCGGGAGUGUUAUAGCCCCUGGCGUAAUACCCUUCGGGGGACCGAGGAACGCGCAUCUGCAAGGAUGCUGGCGUAAUGGUCGUCAACGACCCGUCUUGAAACACGGACCAAGGAGUCGAACAUUUGUGCGAGUGUUUGGGUGUCAAACCCUCACGCGUAAUGAAAGUGAACGGAGGUGAGAGCCCUUCGGGGUGCAUCAUCGACCGAUCCUGAUGUCUUCGGAUGGAUUUGAGUAAGAGCAUAACUGUUCGGACCCGAAAGAUGGUGAACUAUGCGUGGAUAGGGUGAAGCCAGAGGAAACUCUGGUGGAGGCUCGCAGCGGUUCUGACGUGCAAAUCGAUCGUCAAAUCUGCGCAUGGGGGCGAAAGACUUAUCGAACCAUCUAGUAGCUGGUUACCGCCGAAGU